AUGUCAAUCUUUUGACAGUUUGAUGCAGGAGAAGAAUUCAUAGGUGAUAGUGUUGAAUCAAUAACGAAAGUGGGGUCUGGGGAGAGUGUUGUGUACGUAGAGUAGCAGUCUCGCGGACCGUACCCUACCUUGUGAAGGUAGAGAGACUGUUUCGGAUACCGAAUGUAAUCUGUUGUAACUUUCACAUGUUCUCUUUAUUCUUGUUUAUUCAAUCUCAG
rnacentral:misc_RNA from 1 species